UCUUACUCCCCCCCUCCCUCUUCUUAUUCCCCCUUCUUACCCCCCUCCCCUGUAGCGUGGCCGAGCUGCUCUGCUGUCCGCGGUGCCCGGCCGGAGUGAUAGGAAGGUGCACGCUCACGCUACAGGGGAGGGCAGGUGAGUACCAACUGCAGCCGCCUGACCGCUCUUGACAGAAUGCUCAGGCGGCUGCAGUAUUUAAGGGGCCGUCGUAUAACACGCUCCCACAAUUUGCUCCCUAUUUUCAGGGAGAAAAAGUGCGUGUUAUACGCCGAUAAAUACGGUAAAGAGAAGGGAAGGAAGGAAACGUGUGACAUGGGUUAAACCACUCUAGUUUUUGUAAUGAGCUUCGAAUUUCAUCUAUACAUUGUGCUAGCAGUUUUGCUAAAAAAAAAAAAAAAAAAUCUAUUGGAAGAAAAAAAUGUAAAAAUAGUUUUGCUUUUCUCCCAUUUGAAUGGAACUUGGUCAGCAGAUACUCAAUGCUGUGGGAUUGAGAGACAAAGACGGCAGAAGAGACUUCUCCCUCUGCUUUCCACCCAUAGCUAAUAUAAAGCAUGUGCUGUGGUGCCAAAGAUAAAAAAAUAUAUAUAUAUCUAUAUAUCUUUGGCGCAACCUUUCCUUGUCUUGUCUGGUUGCUGCCUUCCGGUAUUUUGUGUGUUAAUUAGUGCUGACGUAUCACUUGUUUUUAUAAAGCAUGUGCUGUGUUUGCUAUGGUAACACCCUAGCCGGCCCUGCUAGCGCCAAUAAUUUGACAUCUUACUUGUGAACCUCAAGGCGUCUUUCUCACCCGUAAGCUCUCUGUCGCCUGAUCACUUGCAGCCAGUGAGUUAAAACCAGCCCUGUGUUUAGCUCAGGCACUCUUGGCUAAUGAGCAGGAGCUUCCAACUCUUCAUGCAGGAUGUUUGACUACUUACAAUGAAGGGAUGGGGCACUCCUGGCACCAUAACCACUACAGAGCACUACAUUUUAAGAAACAUGAACACAUACACCUACCUUAGAGAAUACACACACACACAUCUGGAUUUGUCCUAGAGAGUCUGGGUAUCCUGUCUAAUUGCUAGAUGUGUCAAAGCUUUCAUCUCCUGGUAGUUUUAUAAACACCUUUUACCCCAAAUCAACCCUUCCUGCUUAUAGAGUUAAGAAUUACCCUUUGGGACAAUGACUUAAAAAUAAGGUUUGCACAUUUUUUUGCAAAUGUCAUGUUUCACCAAGCUGUUUGUUAGAGGUACUUAUAUAACCCAGUCUACUACAUCCAGAUUUGUUGAGAAAUUGUAUUUUGAUGUGUUUUCUGAAAGUUCAUUUACAGACACUUUGAGUGCACCUUCCAGAGAAAAUUGUUGCGUUUUACAAGGCAAAAUCUCACUUAUACAACUUUACUAGACAAAUACGGAUAUGGAACUAGUUUUAGCAGGGAUUUAUAUGAAUAAAUGUUUAACUGUGCUGAUAAGUUAAAUUACUCUCCGAGUUUUUAUGCUUUAUAGAAAGAACACAUUUUCCUGCAGUGAGUCUUCCCCAUUCAAUGACAUACCUGACACUUCUCUGCCAAUUCUAGCUUUUCCAAUUAUUUUCAAUGGACGUCUAGUGCAUGUCUCACAAACUAUAUUGCUUAGUAGGGCAUUAUAUGUAGUUCAGCCCUCCACAGGAGCUCCAUUCCUCACUGUGUGAUUGGAACAGCUGACUAAGCUGAUGUUCCUGUGUUUAUUAUUAACACCAUUCAUAGUUUCACGAAUUAAGUUAUAGGUGUGGAUGCAUGCACCUGGCUGGAGCACAAGCUCUGUCACAGAAAGCUGUGACCUUUCUGAAAAGUGAGUACAGGGUGCACAUGCCCACAGGUACCCAGUAUGGCAGUACAUGUAUGACCAGGUACCAUAUUGGAAUGAAAGCGUGAGCUGGAAGUGUCUACCAUAGCCUUCUGUUUAUGUUUUCAGUAUCACUUUAAGGUAGAUGUACUUGGUGAUAUCCACUAGUAUAUGUAAUGCAAUUUAAAAUGAAGGCGACCUGUGCUGAGAGGGUAUUUAUUUACUCUUUAUAGUAAUGCCUUGACCAGUGCAGAUGCUAAGGGCUAGUAAAGAUGUUUUAAAAUAAUUAAAAUUUCAUAUGGCUCCCCCUGCAUCAUCUUCCAUUAUGAAGCACUUAAUUGCCUUAAAAAUUUAGGUUGCCUACCCCUGCUGUGGGUGCUAUAGGAUGCAUUUCUUCUUAUUUAAUUUGUUAAAGUGCCUGGAGAUCUAUGGCGCUGUCCCUCCAUUCUGUAGAAACCAUUUUGAGCAGUUUAACACUGAAUGAGGGUCCCUGGCUUCCCACAGCCCUGGCCCUACUGCAGUUAUGGUUGAGAUCAAUAUUACAGUAUACAGUUCCUUCAAGCCGUUCUACCCAUUCAUACCUGCAAUGCACUGUGAUUGGCUGAAUGUGUCAGCUGACUGCUUUCAGCCUAUCACAGCUGCCCAUCCCUGCUCAGGCUACUGCUCCCUCAUUAGCCCAAGCAGUAUAGUGGAUGGGCUGCUGCCUAGCAUUAAACAUUAAAUACAUAGAAACAUAGAAUGUGACGGCAGAUAAGAAGAAUUCAGCCCAUCUAGUCUGCCCAUUUAAAAAAAAAAAAUACUCUCAUUCGGUCCCUAAAUACAAUAUAAAAUACAAUUUGAAUGUCAACUGCCACCUUUUCUUAGAUGAAGCAUGGCAGAAUGCUUCAGCCAUAUAUAUACACCUUGGGUGAGGCAGUGUUUGAAAACUGACCGGAUUGUUGUAUUGAAAGGUUUUGAGGUGACAAUUGUCCUUUAAUGUUGAAUGGAAGGGCAGUGCCCGGGGACUCCAAACAAUACAACUACUUUAGUGAGACAAAGCAGUCAUAGUGUCCCUUUAAAAAACUUUGAGAUUUAGAAGUACUUCAAUGACUAUGUUAAUGCACAUAAAACUCGCAAUGGAAGGGCCCGGAGAACACUAUGUAUUGUGCAUUAUAUACAAUAUGGAAAAGUGGAUUGUAAAUGUUCAAUUGUUCAUUGAAACAGGCAAUAUGUAUCUCAACUAAUGAUUGCAUAUGUAAUAUUAUUACUUGCCAAUAAAGAAUUAAAAAAAGAAAAAAAAAGAAACUUUGAUUUGCUAAACUAGUGUCAGGAUUCCUAAGAGGCCCAACAUGCAGGAUGUAAAUGAAAAACAUAUACUGACUUUAAAGUGACCGUUAGAAAGAAUGGUUAGGGACAAGCCAGAAAUCACAUCCUUUUAUAGUCUGGUACUUUAAAUUUAAAGCCAUGCCCCCAAAUGUUCAAAUUCGGAGGGAUUGCAGGGCUGUGACGCCAUCAGCGUCGUGACGUCGGCACGCACGACAAAAGGGGUCUGAGCCACAGUGGCCAGCGUUGGAACUGCUGGAGGGAAGUCUGGUUCUGUGGAGAGGUUUCCUCUCCUGCUGAGAGUUUCCAACGUGACUAUACGUGACGACUGGGAAAUGAACUGAAUUAGUGAAGGAAUUGCAAACUAAAAUAGUCUAACUGUAAAAAAAAUAAAUCCUUAACUGGCCAAAACUUUGAAAGUCCCUUGUGUAAUAUCCAUAAUGCCCUAGUUAUUAAUCAAAUUCCACAAGAGGAGACAUUACUGGGAAAAAAAAAAAUAUAUAUAUAUUUUUUUUAGCUUUGCCAUGCUAGAUUGUACGUUUUGAAAGAUACAUUAACUUGGGCUUUGAAUCUGAACAAUCGCUCCUCACACACCUACCAAAUUUCAGUUCCAUGUUUGGAUAUUACCAAACCAAAUUCUCAAUUUUCUG
rnacentral:lncRNA from 1 species